GGAGGAGGAGCGGUGGCAGGGGAGGCAGAGGCUGCAUACCAGGCUGUAUCCUGUGGAGAUAAGCAGAGCCCUGAAGUCAUCGGAGUCCAUGCUGCCUGUCUGCUUCUGCUCCCAGGACGCAGGCAUAGCAGAGGAGGCCAGGCCCAGAGGAGGCAAGAAGGGCCGCCCCAUGUGCACAGCGGGCAGACAGGACAGUGGCGGGAGCGGGGAGACAGGAGGCCAGAGAGACCAGGAAAUCCAGGUCCCAGCGAGGAGCACCUGCAUGGAUCCUCAGCCCUGCAGCGCUGAGCAGUGAUGCUCAAACCAGCCCGAGACCCCUAAUUGGACUGAGGAGGCGUCCUGACUGCUGCAGGGGCGCAGGGCACUGCGGGCCAGCCCCUUCUCUGGUUCAGAGGACAAGCUCUGGUCUCGGGCACGGGAGCUGGCAGGUCUGCCCGGGACUCCGGGCUGAUGCAGGGCAGGGCUUGAUGCCAAACGCCUGUGGCGGAGGGGACGCCUAGCCAGGCAGGGGUAUGUGGAGGCUCCUGGACCAGCCGGGCCCGGGCCCAGGACUAAGCUAACUUCUAAACUCCUUAGGUGAAGGCCAGACCCAGUCAUUCCCAGGGACAGGGCUCUGGUGGGCCAUCGCACCCACGCCCCUCAGAAAACCACUGCCCAGGGUUUCCUGGAGCCUUGGAGAGGGCACUGAAAGACGUGCCCAGAAAGGAAACCCAUAGGCAGACACCCCAGCAGCCCUGGAGGAGGAGCAUGUGGAGCAAGACAGCAGGGGACGGCUCAGCCUGAGCGCGGGACGUGGGUGCUGUAACCUCUCCUUGCUGUGGCCAGGGGUUCUAGGACAAGGGAAAUGCAAACCUUCGCUGGCCCGAGCAUUCCCUGGGCAGGAAAGCUGCUGCGUACAGGCCUGUCUGGGAGAGUGGCUGAAGACACGUUUAUUGAACAAACAUACGGACUGAACGCCAGCCUCCUUCCCCAGGAGACAGCAGCAGCCAUCACGCCCUCCUCCUAGGUACCACUUUUAUGAGGCACAGGAGAGGGGCCUGCACCCCCCGUCCCUGCCUGGCCAGCUUCCUGGCCUUGCCAUGUGUCCCUGGCAGAGAGGACCAGGGGAUCGCUGUGGAUCUGGCACUGCUGUUGGAGAAGGGCAGGCUGAGCUCAUGUGAAGGGCACGAGCUGGCCACAGCCAGGGACAGCUGAGGUGGGCACAGGCCUGUGGGUCAUGUGGAGCUGCCAUGGGAACCUCUUGGGACAGGGGUGGGGUGGCCUGCCCACACAGCAGGGUGGACAGUGGCUAGCAGAGGUCCCAGAGGCUGGAUGGAGAUUCUGUGAGGAGUGAGGGGCAGAAGAGCCAAGGACCACACCAGGCGAGAAGGGGGAUCAGCUGGGCCAUGGUGGCAGGAGGGCCAGGAGGGCCAGCAGGGCCAGGAGGCAGUAUGGGCCACGAGCAGGAGCGAGGAGCCUGGAGGGCUUUUGUGUUUGUCCCCCACAUUCCCACCGGCACCAGAGCUGGGGCUGAACCCAGGGCCCCCGUGAACCCCGCCCCUGGCCUGUGCUUGCUUUCUUCUCUGGCUUUCCCAGGACUGAUAGUUUUCUGGCCCCUGGAAUCUGGAAUCUCAACCAUGGUGUGGGUCCCGACCGAGGGCCAGGGACGUGAUGGAAUUCUACAUCCCGAGCCAAGGCACAGGCAGCUCCGAGGCCGCCGGGAAACAGGAGGCGACACGAAUUCCCUCCAAGUGGACCCAUCUUGCAGGGGUCCAGGCCCCUGGCAGGAGGCCCUGAAGCAGGGCAAGGAGGGGCUCCAGCGAGCGCCACUGCAGGUCCCGCAGCAGAGCCAGAGGCAGCUGGGAACACGCGAGCUCUUCAGCAUGCGGCACCAGCAGUGUGAGACGGGGGCAGACUGUCCCAACAUGGUGCCAGGGACAGGAGAGCCCUGUCCAUAUGCCUGACCUGGAUGGGGAUGGGAACUGCCUCAGAGAAGCCACGGCACAGCUAUACAGUCACUUCCCUAAAAGCAGGACAGGGCUUGGCUGCAUUCCUGGAUGACUGACCCUUCAUGACCCAGGAAGAGGCCUGUAAUAAUCUCUGAGGCCAGCGCAGGUUGGGCAAGAAGGAAGACAUGGCCCCAGGUGCGCCCUGCUGCCUGGGGCUGGACGAGUCCCAAAGCAGCUUUAGACAAGACAGGAAAGGGGCUGGACACACAGACCCUGCACAGCAGGGGGUCCGGGGGUGCGUGCGUGUGUGCACAUCUGAGCAGGAACGGGGAAGAGGGCCGUACCGUCAGUCCAGGCCUCGUGGAUGGAGGCCUUUUGCCGGAACUUCUCUGCCAGGUGGUCGAGCCGCUCCAGCCUGCGGAUCUCAUUCAGCAGCCACUCCUCAUAGCCCUUCUCCGCCUGCUCCAGGUGCUGCCAGCCAUUGUUGAUGUCCUGUGGGGGCAGGAGAGGGCAGGGCUGUCAUAGGAGGCUGCAGAAGGUCAGCGGCGGGGCCACAGUCCUGCCCGACCCCGCUUUGCCGUGUGCAGGUGCCAAGAGCCCAGCACACUCGGUCCCUGGGUUCCUCUGCAUUAACUGAAUGAGUCUGUGAACUGGAGAGCGAGUGAAUGGAUGGACAGACAGAGGGAUGCUGUGGGUGAGGUUAUGGAGCCAGAGGUGACCCCCGAUCCUAGGGUUACAGCAGCCUAGGGGUCCAAAUUCAAACUUCCACACACACCACUCAAGUGUGACACCAGGGAGUGUCCCUCAGCCAGCCAGCCCCAGAGGCCAUGUGUUCUGGUUGAGGGAGACAUGCUGGCCGAGCAGCAGGCCAAGCCCAAGGGCUGUUCUGAGCUGCCGUUGCCCCUCCCAGCUGCUCUUCAGUCCCGCGGGCAUGGCCCCCUGGGGCGGGCGCUCACCGAGACCAUCCUGCCCUCGGAGGGCAUGAAGGCCGGCCGGUUGCUGAGGCGCAGCUUGGUCUGCAGCGUGUUGAAGUUGAUCUCCAGCUGGCACUUCUCUUGCACCUUGGGCGGCUUGUGCACGCGCCGGUAGUCGCGGAAAUCCUCCAGCUUCUGCUGCAUCUCCUGGAUGGUCUUCUGGGGCACCCGGUCCUCUAGCCAGGGAAUGGUGCGCCGGAUCCACUCCAGGAGCUGCGGGCCCACAAGAAGCCGUGGUGACCCUUGCAGAGGGCAGAGUGCCCACAGCCUGCCCCCAGCUAUGGAGCAUGGGACCUGGACCACUGUGGGCCUGCCCCCAGGGCUUCCCCUCCUCCCUAGCCUGGCUCUCCCGUGAGUCCUGUUGGGACCCCACAGCACAGGAUUCUGGGAACAAGGCCUCCUGGGAACCCCCGUGCUGCUCUUGGCUGUACCUCUUGCCUCUUUCCCAGGUCUACGUGGGCAGCUCAGCAAACACCCCUCCUCAGAAGCCCCCUCCUCGCUGUCAGGUGACCCACUAUCCCUGGCUUCCCUGAGCUUAUCUAAGAGCCUCUCUGCCUGGUUCAGGGAUGGUAAAUGUCACAAGGGCAGGGGUCCACAAGGGAGCAUGGCCUGGGACCCAAAACACAUCAGAAAAUUGAAAAAGAAAGUAACGUGUAUUCCUAGCAGCUACUCUGAUCUUUCUAGGACAAUUCUAGGAAGGUAAAGCCAGUUACUGUCUAUCGGAGAGCACUUGGGCAAGUGGCUCCAAACGCCAACCCCAGCCAAGUGAGGGGGCCGAGGACAGAGGCGUCUGCCUGAGAGUGCACCUUGACGCUCGGGCAGGGUCCCUCGCAGGCAAUGGCGGGGGACCCAGAAGCCCCGCUCUUUGCCCUGCCUGGUGUUGGGAAGGACGGCUGCAGCACUGGGGAUGGGGCACAGGCUCGUGCGUGGCAGGCAAGAGCUCAAGCACCGAGCCUCACCCCGGUUUUGCUUUUGUAAAAUGUGUAGGCAGAAUAAAAAGUUGGCCGCCCUAGA